rnacentral:misc_RNA from 1 species
GUGAAUCAUCGAAUCUUUGAACGCACCUUGCGCUCCUUGGUAUUCCGAGGAGCAUGCCUGUUUGAGUGUCUUGAAGUCAUCAACCCCUGCCGUUUCGUGCGGCUUGCGUGUUGGAGCUGGGGGCUUGCUGCCGAGAGGCGGCUCCCCUCAAAUGCGUCGGUUGGGCCUGCGGGUCGCACUCGAUUGGGCGUUGUACCAUCCUCGCUCUGAACGAGAAGUUCCCCUAUUAGCCGCCCCUCCACGACCUGCCUUCCAGAGUGGCGGUCAAACCAAAACUUUGAAAUCUGACCUCAAAUCAGGUAGGACUACCCGCUGAACUUAAGCAUAUCAAUAAGCGGAGGA